CUACUCCAGCUUUACUCCAUGGAGCAAGGAGAAGGUAGAAGAUUGAAGGCAACCAACAGGAGGCUGCCAAGAGCUCUACUCCAACUUUACUCCAUGGAUGGAAGAGAAGGUCUAAGCUAGGAGGAUGUGGAGAGCUCUACUCCAGCUUUACUCCAUGGAGCAAGCAGAAAGUAGAAGGUUGAAGGCAACCAAGAGGAGGUUGUGGAGAGAUCUACUCCAGCUUUACUCCAUGGAGCAAGCAGAAGGUAGAAGGCUGAAAGCAACCAAGAGGAGGAUGUGGACAGAUCUACUCCAGCUUUACUCCCUGGAGUAAAGGAGAGUAGAAGGUUGAAAGCAACCAAGAGGAGGCUGCCAAGAGCUCUACUCCAACUUUACUCCAUGGAUGGAAGAGAAGGUCUAAGCUAGGAGGAUGUGGACAGAUCUACUCCAGCUUUACUCCAUGGAGGAAGGAGAAGGCCCAAGGUUGGAGGCAGCAGAAGGUUGUGACCUACUCCAGCUUUACUCCCUGGAGCAAGCAGAAGGUAGAAGGCUGAAGGCAACCAAGAGGAGGCUGCCAAGAGUUCUACUCCAACUUUACUCCAUGGAUAGAAGAGAAGGUCUAAGCUUGGUGGAUGUGGAGAGAUCUACUCCAACUUUACUCCAUGGAGCAAGCAGAAAGUAGAAGGUUGAAGGCAACCAAGAGAAGUUUGUGGAGAGAUCUACUCCAGCUUUACUCCAUGGAGCAAGCAGAAGGUCCAAGGUAGGAGGCAGCAGAAGGUUGUGACCUACUCCAGCUUUACUCCAUGGAGCAAGCAGAAGGUAGAAGGCUGAAAGCAACCAACAGGAGGCUGCUAAGAGCUCUACUCCAACUUUACUCCAUGGAUGGAAGAGAAGGUCUAAGCUAGGAGGAUGUGGAGAGAUCUACUCCAGCUUUACUCCAUGGAGUAAGAAGAAGGUAGAAGGCUGAAAGUAACCAACAGGAGGCUGCUAAGAGCUCUACUCCAACUUUACUCCAUGGAUGGAAGAGAAGGUCUAAGCUUGGUGGAUGUGGAGAGAUCUACUCCAGCUUUACUCCCUGGAGGAAGGAGAAGGUCCAAGGUUGGAGGCAGCAGAAGGUUGUGACCUACUCCAGCUUUACUCCAUGGAGCAAGCAGAAGGUAGAAGGUUGAAAGCAACCAAGAGGAGGAUGUGGAGAGAUCUACUCCAGCUUUACUCCAUGAAGCAAGCAGAAGGCUGCAAGCAACCAAGAGGAGGCUGCCAAGAGCUCUACUCCAACUUUACUCCAUGGAUGGAAGAGAAGAUCUAAGCUAGGAGGAUGUGGAGAGAUCUACUCCAGCUUUACUCCCUGGAGCAAGCAGAAGGUAGAAGAUUGAAGGCAACCAAGAGGAGGUUGUGGAGAGAUCUACUCCAGCUUUACUCCAUGGAGCAAGCAGAAGGUCCAAGGUAGGAGGCAGCAGAAGGUUGUGACCUACUCCAGCUUUACUCCCUGGAGCAAGCAGAAGGUAGAAGGCUGAAAGCAACCAACAGGAGGCUGCCAAGAGCUCUACUCCAACUUUACUCCAUGGAUGGAAGAGAAGGUCUAAGCUAGGAAGAUGUGGAGAGAUCUACUCCAGCUUUACUCCAUGGAGCAAGCAGAAAGUAGAAGGUUGAAGGCAACCAAGAGAAGUUUGUGGAGAGAUCUACUCCAGCUUUACUCCAUGGAGCAAUCAGAAGGUAGAAGGCUGAAAGCAACCAACAGGAGGCUGCCAAGAGCUCUACUCCAACUUUACUCCAUGGAUAGAAGAGAAGGUCUAAGUUGGUGGAUGUGGAGAGCUCUACUCCAACUUUACUCCCUGGAGCAAGCAGAAGGUAGAAGGCUGAAAGCAACCAACAGGAGGCUGCCAAGAGCUCUACUCCAACUUUACUCCAUGGAUGGAAGAGAAGGUCUAAGCUAGGAGGAUGUGGAGAGAUCUACUCCAGCUUUACUCCAUGGAGUAAGAAGAAGGUAGAAGGUUGAAGGCAACCAAGAGGAGGAUGUGGAGAGAUCUACUCCAGCUUUACUCCAUGGAGCAAGGAGAAGGCCCAAGGUUGGAGGCAGCAGAAGGUUGUGAUCUACUCCAGCUUUACUCCAUGGAGCAAGCAGAAGGCUGCAAGCAACCAACAGGAGGCUGCCAAGAGCUCUACUCCAGCUUUACUCCAUGGAUGGAAGAGAAGGUCUAAGCUAGGAGGAUGUGGAGAGAUCUACUCCAACUUUACUCCAUGGAGGAAGGAGAAGGCCCAAGGUUGGAGGCAGCAGAAGGUUGUGACCUACUCCAGCUUUACUCCCUGGAGCAAGCAGAAGGUAGAAGGCUGAAAGCAACCAACAGGAGGCUGCCAAGAGCUCUACUCCAACUUUACUCCAUGGAUGGAAGAGAAGGUCUAAGCUAGGAGGAUGUGGACAGAUCUACUCCAGCUUUACUCCAUGGAGCAAGCAGAAGGUAGAAGGUUGAAGGCAACCAGGAGGAGGUUGUGGAGAGAUCUACUCCAGCUUUACUCCAUGGAGCAAGAAGAAGGUAGAAGGUUGAAGGCAACCAGGAGGAGGUUGUGGAGAGAUCUACUCCAGCUUUACUCCAUGGAGCAAGCAGAAGGUUGAAGGCAACCAAGAGGAGGAUGUGGAGAGAUCUACUCCAGCUUUACUCCAUGGAGCAAGCA